AUCGCCCACAAGGUUCUCAUAGAUGUGCUCGCCCCCAGUCCGAAGCCCAAGUGCAGAAACGAGCCGGGAAAGACGGAAAGCUGAGCAUGCUCAGUGGCCAGAGACAAGUCUGGUCGGAAACUAGAUUUUGUUCGGACUCUCUGGGCUCUCCUGUCAGUUACAGGACCUGGUCCCCGUGUGAAGUCACCUGGACUUUGAACCUCCUCCCAGUCAUUCUUACCUUCCAGAAACAUAUACUAAGCCCAUUCGCUGCCCUCCAUCAUGGAAAACUGUGAUUCCAGACAGACAUGUCUGGAAAGAUAGAGAAAGUAAAUUUGACCCAUUCCAUCUCCUUUUGGAAGACUAUUGCAACCAGGGAGUGCCACAGUUAAAUGUACCAGCAGAAGAAAGCGGAAAAAGGAUUCAAGACCCUCCACAGGCAGGGUUUGGAGCACGCUGUGACUUUGUUGGGAAUAAUAAACAAGUUGCCUUCCAAGAGUGGGUCGAGGUGUUAUUUUUAUUCCCCCUGACUAUUUACCUGAUCACUGACACUCUCUGAGGAAGGAAGCUGGUGUGUGUAUGUGUGUAUAUACACCAAAGAGAAGGAAGUGAAAAAUAUACCAAGGACACAGCCACAGAAGUCAC